rnacentral:lncRNA from 1 species
UUAAAUAUCUUUACCCCACCAACACCAAUUUCUGGCUACGCUCUUGGGGGUGGUGACUGGUAACAUAUGGUUAUGCACUCUACCUAUGAUAUAAUAAUCAUAAUAUAGGAAAAGAAAAGAGUGAAUGUUUGGAAAAAGUAAUGCUUACCUUAUCAGAAUUGUGAGUUGAGUGGAUGAACUACAUUUAGAUUAUUUUUCAAGAGCCAGUGAGGAGGAUAUGAAUACAAAGACGGGGAUUUGAUUUGAAGAUGCCACACCAUGACCUUUGAGCAGUUCUGAGGUAGGCCCUCCAUUUGGCUUUCAUCUUCAACAAUUUGUUCAACAAAUGUACUCACCUGCAAAGAGUAAUAUUAAAGGUUACUUCCAGUCAUCCACAGUAUGACUAUAACAAUUAGAUAAGAAUAUCAAUAUCACAAUCCAGAGACCAGUUCCAGAAAGUUGGAUAUUUCCAGUGAACUCGCUAGAAACUAGGUAAACCCUAUAUAUCAGUUUUGUUAGAUAAGCCUCUAACAACUAGACCAUACUCUGCCAUUACAGCUCAAAAUCUUAGUCCUCCCUAUUAGAUUAUAAGAUAGGGACAAAGCUUCGAUGUUCGGGGUUCAAGUCCUCUCUAGCCAACAACCGACACAUUGCUAAUAGAUUAGUGGAUAGGGAUAAGGCCUCAAAUUUUGGCCUCAAGUCCCUGCUAGCCAACAACUUAACAAUAUUGCCAUUACAUUUAGGUGCAAAAAUUAUUAUUAUUGUGAUGCUGGGAUUCUUUUUAAUUAUUGUUUGUUAUCCUCCCUUUGAGGUGGAUUCACAGAAUUGGGCAUAUAUCUGGUAGUGGGAGCUUGACUUCUAAACAAACUGGUGUACGCUUUGGAACAAGUAUCUAAAACUAGACUAGUAUGUGUCGAAAAAUUAUUCGCGAUAUAGAGGAUAAUAAAGAAACAUAGCAUGUAAUGCCGAUAACAUCCAUACACACAAUAAGAUUUAAUAAGAAAAACCUUCAAGACAGUAAUGAAGCAAGACACUCACUUGGACCUCUUCUUUGACUGUAUCAAGCUGCCUAAUAGGUUUAGGAUUAGGCCGGUGCCAUCUCUUUGAAUCCCAAAGUAUGGUACUGUUGAAUGCAAACCCAGACAUUCCCACAUGGAAUCUACGUGAUCUUCUUCUCCCAUCUCUACUGUGCCAUCCUAGAACAUGACCUCCAUUGCAUACUGGACCUUCCAACGCAAUUUGGCUUGUACCAGGCACCAAUUUUGCCACUGCCCAUGUUCCAAGCCGCCUAGGCAUCAAAAGUUUGGCAGUCAAAUAAUGAUCAGUACAUAAAGCAAGAUGAUAACAGAGGACAGAAGGGUAAGAUCCAUACAAGAGUUUUUGUUCUGCCCUACCUACCAAUGUUAGAAUGCCAAAGAUGACUACUAAAGAGCACAGAAAAUGCAAGUGCUACUUGUCCUAACACUAUCUUUUGAGUUUUGACUAAAUUAAAGUCAUCAGGUACAUUAUAUGUUCUAGAUUUCACUUUCUGACACCAACAUUGGAAUUGAAUUCUAAUCUUAAUCCAACUUAAGUUUUCCCCUCUGACUUUGAACAUGAUCACCACCCUUCACAUCUUCAAACAGUGAGAGGCCUUGUUUUUUACUAACUUUUACAGUCUGACAUAUCCUUUUUCAUAUUUAGUUCUAACAAACAUGACACCCAUAUACUUCAUGCAGAUCAACCAAAUAGAAAAGACGUUCAAAGUUAAAACCAACAAAAACAGACACUUGCAAAAAAAAAAAAACACACACAGACAUAAUGGUUGUUGAUUCAUAUAGAAGUGAGAGCGAGAAGUUGGAACAUCCGCAUAUUUGAAAUCAAGCUUUUGAAUUAGACAAAGAUGAUGAAAUGCAGUUACUUAAAUUAUAUAGAAGUUAUGAUACCUGAUUAGCCUCAUCUGUUCAAAAAGUUCAGUAGUAUAAAUGUUCGUAUCAUCUGCAAAAAAAACUAUUCCAUCAAGCCUAUGCAUCUCAAUGUGGGAUAAUGCCAGGUUUCUUUGGUGCAAGCUCCUAUAUUUUAUCUCUGUCAAGUUCUUAAUGCAGGCGAGAUGCCUGUACAUAACUCCAGUUUUUCUCAACAAGUCAGCUGUUUCCACAGAUUGAGAAUUCAUCUCGACAACGAUCCACAAUACAGGAGGUGGAAUCGAUUUCAACGUGUGAGCCAAACGAUUCAAAUAAUAUGCUUCAAAUGGCCGAGCAUAUGUUGGAGUCACAAUUAUCAGAAGCUUAUUUAAGGCCUCACCAAAUGAUUGGGGCGCAAUACUUGCAUCAGAAGUUACAUUACUGUUGUCCUCGACAGUCAAAUGCAACUUCAAUGAAACAUUUUCACUUUUUGUAGGCAGUUCAUCUACUACCAUUUUCUCAUUCGCCAUGAAAGGUGAGAAUUUCUUCAAAGGAAACUCUGGCCCUUCAGGUGUGUAACUGGGGGACAUAUCCAAGGAGACAAAUGGGGUGAGCCCAACAAAAAUUCCAAGAAAAAAACACACCAAGAAUUGAAAUAUAGCCCUUCUCCAAACAUGGCCCUUCAGUUUUGUCUUUUCCAGGGGUCGAGAUGAUUUAUGCGAGAAAAAAUCUGAUAUAAACGAUUGAACUGUGUAAAAGCCAUAUCCCGAUGAACUACUAUUUGGCAGUGUGUGGUUCUGGUUAGAGGAGGAAGACCUGGAAAGAGGAGAUGCAACUAAAUUGGCUUCUCCAUUCAUUAACAUUCCAGGACGGGUAACUGGAGAUAAUGUUCUACGAAUAGAAGCCAUUUUAAAGAAAGACGUAGAGCACAGUCUUCAAAAUUACUCUUAGUGUUCGAACAAAUCAAGAGACAAGAUAUAUCGAACUCAAUAAUUUUUCCGAGAUAUCACGUAAUUCUAAAUUGUCAGCACACUGUUCACAUCCCCCUCAUCAAAUUGUAAAAAUAACAAACAAAGAAAUGCACCUCCAACACAACCAGAUUAAUAUUCAAUACAUUCAGCUGACAACACCUCCUUAGAAGACAAGUCCAAGGAGCUAAAUUCCAAGUAAACUCAAUCCAUCAAACAUCACCAAGUGAGGCACUUUCUCACAAAAAUCUAAACACAAAAACACUAGCAAUUACCACAUUCAAUAAAAACCAAAAUCAACAUCUUUUCGACUAAAUCCCAAAUUUCUCUUGCUAUACCAGAUAUUCUUCCCACUCCCACACACACGCACACACUACAAAUCAACAGAACCCUUAAAUCAAAAGAAUCAGCAACUACAACUACCACCAAAUCAAAGCAAAUUCAAAGAGCCCGUCAUUUAGCUAACAAAAACAGCAAAACCCACCUCUCAGAUUUCAAGAAACUUGAGCUGAGGCCCAAAGAACUCAAGAUUUGAGCUCAAAGAACUGAAAUUUAAAGACUUUUAACAAAUGGGUUACCACAUAAUUGCUGAGCUGAGAAAAUGGUCUUGGAUCUUUUCAAGAAUGAAGUAGAAUGCUCUGCAAAUCUUUAGAAAUAGGAAUUCAAGCUGACCCUCUUGGCAAAAAAUCUCAAAUUUUUAGGAAUGAAAUUGAAAGUGAAACAAGAAUGAAUAUAGAAAGGUGAGUUUAGUGAUUUCCAAUCAGAACAGACUGGUAAGAAAGAAAGUGACUUAUUCUGUAAUAAUUUCUUCUUAAUUUUUUACUUGAGCUGUUAGAACAUAUUUAUAGUUAUACACACAGAAAUUGUUACCUACGAAGUAAGAACUCAAAGUACACGUUUUCGAGUUGGAACGUUGGUUAGGACAAAAGCACAUGGACUUUUACUUGUUCACUAGCUUAUUGCAUGUUGUUUUAGAUUGAUUUGUAAUAAGAAACUAAGAUAAAUUUAAUAAAAAAGAUGACCUUCUCUAUUUAACAUUUAAUUUGCUGUUGUUUAACGUUUUCAAUUCAAUAUACAGCUUAAACAUUUAGCUAUGUCAAAUAAAAGCAAACAAAAAUUUAUUAAAUUAAUUGACAUACUCCUUCUUGCAAUUCACAUUAAUUCAUUAUAGAAAUUAUAGAAUUAAAAUCUGUACCAUUUUUGAAAUUUAUGAAGUUUGGUUGGUCAAUAUUUUUUUUAUUUUUAAUAUUUUAUUUUCACUUAAAAUUUUAAUUUAAUAAUAAUUAUUAUAUUCUAUUAUUUAAUUUAACAAUAUAUUAAAUAUAUAUAAUAUUGGAUUCUCAUCAAUAAUAAAUUAUAAAUUUACUUUUUUCAUCCAUCCAGAAGAGUCUUGUUGGGAAUUAAUGCAUGCCUUUAUAACAAGCUGAUUAUUUUUAUAAUUAUGAACCACGUUUUGCUAUUAGAUAUGGCAGGAUUUCAGGACUUGUUAAUUACAUGUAUUUAUUAUUUAAAAGAGACUUAGAGCAUCUCCAACGGCGUUGGCUAUAAUCGUUGGCUAAAUUGGACCUGUAAGACUUUAUGUAAAAUUUGCUGAACCUGUAACACAUUUUGCUUCAAUGGUAUUGGCUAUCUUGGUUGGCUAUAAUUUAAAAAUAGUAUGUUAUUAAUAUUUCAAAUUGUUAAAAUAGAAUAUAUCAGUUCAAUAUGGUAAUAAAUGAUGUGCAAUCUUCCUACAGAUUUUCUUACAGACCUGUAGAGGUUCGACAAAUUUAGCUCUGUUUAUUCUCUUUAUCAAAUAUAGCAAAUUCUGGAUGAAAUCACUUGCACAGAAAGGCUCUUAUUCAAUUGAGAAAUCCCAAAAAAAAAAAAGAUUGAACAAAUCUUGUACAUUUAUUAGAGGAAUGGGCUUGUAAAGAAUGGCUACAAACUUACAAAGUCCAUACAUAUAAUUGCAAGAGUUCAAAUGAUUGAUCAUUGCCAUUCUUAAAUAGCAAGCAAUAAAUAAUGCAUGCUAGGCUGAUCAUCUGUGAAACCUCUAUACAAGACAAAAAGGUUGCAGCUGCAACCGAAAAACUGCCUAAUAUUCUUGAAAAUUUUGCACCAAAAAUAGUUCGAUUUCAACAGGAAAGGGGAUGGACAACAUAACUACAUUGAGUAUGAGAACACUGUGCAAUUUAAACAACACCUGUCCGACCAUUUGGCCAGAUUUGUUGUUUGCAGAUACAUCCCCCGCCAAUGGAAAAGAUUUGAACUCAGCAAAUGUAAAACGUGUACCCGAGAGAAAUAAAUUGUACGACGACUGAGGCAUAAUGCAGAUAAAUUGUCUGUAGAUGUUCGAGUUCCAUGACAGAGUGAACACUCGGUUCACAUAUUACUUGAGCACUCUGCUAAGCACAAAUAACAUUUGAUAAAAUAUUAGUGAGUGAAACAUGCUUAUAAUUUAUAAAACAGACAUAUCUAGACAUGUGCUGAUGCCACACACGAAAGAUUAUUAAAUACAACAUGUAUAGAAGGAGAAAAAAGGGACCUCAUCCUGAUGUGUUCAAUAAUUCCUUAGUUGAUAUCUCACCUAGCUCUUUUUGAAAAACUAAAAAGCAUGCUACGCUACACUAGCCUUUACUCAGGAAAUGUCUUUCAUUUACCAUAUUAAUUAUAUAAUUUUCAGGAGCCUCGAAUCAUUAAAAUGCAGAAACAGCACUCAUAGAGGAUUUGAUCAACAAGAUACUUUGAAUGAUCAACAAGAUACUUUGGAAAAAUGUGUUGUGCAGACUUUAGAUUUGUUUUCGAGUUAAUUUUUAUGUUAAAUACACAUUUUAAUUAUAUUAAAUAUCUUUACCCCACCAACACCAAUUUCUGGCUACGCUCUUGGGGGUGGUGACUGGUAACAUAUGGUUAUGCACUCUACCUAUGAUAUAAUAAUCAUAAUAUAGGAAAAGAAAAGAGUGAAUGUUUGGAAAAAGUAAUGCUUACCUUAUCAGAAUUGUGAGUUGAGUGGAUGAACUACAUUUAGAUUAUUUUUCAAGAGCCAGUGAGGAGGAUAUGAAUACAAAGACGGGGAUUUGAUUUGAAGAUGCCACACCAUGACCUUUGAGCAGUUCUGAGGUAGGCCCUCCAUUUGGCUUUCAUCUUCAACAAUUUGUUCAACAAAUGUACUCAC